rnacentral:rRNA from 1 species
GACGAACGCUGGCGGCGUACUUAACACAUGCAAGUCGAACGGAAAGGCCCUGCUUUUGUGGGGUGCUCGAGUGGCGAACGGGUGAGUAACACGUGAGUAACCUGCCCUUGACUUUGGGAUAACUUCAGGAAACUGGGGCUAAUACCGGAUAGGAGCUCCUGCUGCAUGGUGGGGGUUGGAAAGUUUCGGCGGUUGGGGAUGGACUCGCGGCUUAUCAGCUUGUUGGUGGGGUAGUGUCUUACCAAGGCUUUGACGGGUAGCCGGCCUGAGAGGGUGACCGGCCACAUUGGGACGGAGAUACGGCCAGACUCCUACGGGAGGCAGCAGUGGGGAAUAUUGCACAAUGGGCGGAAGCCUGAUGCAGCAACGCCGCGUGCGGGAUGACGGCCUUCGGGUUGUAAACCGCUUUCGCCUGUGACGAAGCGUGAGUGACGGUAAUGGGUAAAGAAGCACCGGCUAACUACGUG